rnacentral:rRNA from 1 species
GUCUAAGGCCAUACUACUAUGAAAAUACCCAAUCUCAUCUGAUCUCCGAAGCUAAGCAGGGCCACACCUGGUUAGUACUUGGAUGGGAGAUUAUAGGUUACAUUUCUAAAAAGGAAGGCUUAUACC